AUGGAAGGAGAGACGCGGCCGCCGCCGGAGCUGGACGGAAUGGAGGGUGAGGCGCAGCCGCCGGCGGCGGCGUGUGUCUCCAAGGUGCUCGACGACGAGAACCUCCUGACGGAGAUCAUCGUCCGCGUCGGCUGCCCCACCAGCCUCGUCCGCGCCGCCGGAGUCUGCAGGCUCUGGCUCAGCCACGCCUCCGACCGCGCCUUCCUCCGCCGUUUCCGCGAACUCCACCCGCCCAGACUCCUCGGCUUCUACCUCGCGCAAAGGGAGUAUCCGGACGCCGCCGCACGCUUCUUCCCGAUGCUGCCUCAGCCUCCGGGGCUCGAUGCCGUCGUCCGCCGCGCAAGCUUCAGCCUGGACACCUACGAGGGCGCAGACAUGAUGGAAUGCUGGAACGGCAGCGUCCUCACCUGCUUGCACGUACAGAACUUCAAUCACCGCCGAUCCGAAAUUAUAUUUGCUGUGCACAGCCCGCUAUGUUCCGAGAGAGGUAUACCCACCAUCCCAGCAUUACACCACAAAUUCGGGGAAGGCAAAUUAUGCACUUUUAUUCAGCUCUUUUCCAAAGAAGAAGGCGAUGGCGUGUCCUACUUUUAUAUCAGGGUGGAGUGCGACAGGCUUCAAACAUAUUCUACGGUGCAUGUAUAUGUGUUGCAAAAUGGUGAUGAUGUCUGGCGCACCCAUCUUACCUUGGCCUCAGGAGACAUCCUACUAUAUCCACGAUCCAGUCCCAAAGGGGUGCUCGUUCACAACAAAAUCUAUGUGCCGUGCGACCCAAAUGAAAUUGUUGUCCUGGAUUUGACAACCUCGAUCUUAUUGACAAUUCAGCUCCCACAAGGGGUGGGUUUUGGCUUAGCAGGCAACACCAUGCUGUCACGGGCUGAUGAUUCUUCUGGUGUAUAUCUCAUCCAUGCCAAAGAGUUUCAACUUCACAUAUGGCUCCUCAAGGGAGACAGCUGGUUGUUGGUGGACACCAUUUGUUUGCGUGAAAUGUGUGCUAAUUUGCUUGAGGAUGAGCCUAUUGCUGAUAUCUAG
rnacentral:rRNA from 1 species